GACGCCGUGGCGCAAUGGAAGCGUGUUCUAUUUCCUAAAUCAGCUUUCGGAAAGGUCGCGUGUUCGAUUCACGCCGGAGUCU